UGCCCCUCCUCCUGCCCACAAGCAGCACCAGCAGCAGGUGGUACAGGCCGUGGAGCGCGCCAAGCAGGUGACCAUGGCCGAGCUGAACGCCAUCAUCGGGCAGCAGCAGCUCCAGGCUCAGCACCUCUCUCACGGACACGCCCUGCCCGUGCCCCUCACCCCCCACCCCGCUGGCCUACAGCCGCCCACCCUCCCGCCCGUGGGAGGCAGUGCCAGCCUGCUUGCCCUCUCCAGUGCCCUCAGCGGCCACCCGCAGCUGCCAAUCAAAGAUGAGAAGAAACACCAUGACAAUGAACACCAAAGAGGUGAUGGCUCUUACUCGUGCUCCUUUCCACCCGCUACAUCCCCCAUCCCUACCUCUUCCUUCUCUAUUCCUCCAUUUCAUUCCUGUUCCUUCUCUAUCCUUCCCCCUGCCUCCCUAUUCUUGUACAUUUCUUCUCUUUCCUUCCCAUUGCUUCCUAUUUUUUCUUGUUCCUUCCCCCUUCCUUUCUGUUCCACCUGUCUUCCCUCUUCCUGUUUCUUUCUGUUUCCUUCUCUUUCCUCCCUUUUCCAUUCUGCAUCUUCAUGCUCUUCCUCUUUCUUACCAUUUCCUUUCUGUUCCUCAUCUUUCUCAUUAGUUCCUCUCACUGGCUUUGAUAAGAAACCAAGAUGUUUUGUUGACACUACAUGAGACCUAUUAGCUGUUUUUGGGAAAAGCCUUGGGUGAUUGGAGCAUACACGUGUCUUCCCGUGGUCUCGUGUCAGAGUCGAGCUUUGAGUAGCGGUUCACAACGGACCGGAGCUGGAGAUUAACGCGCUGUCCGCCACUUCUCAUUGCCCGACCACCGCCCCCCCCGUGUUUAAUCCCUCUCACACCAACUUCCUCCGAUAGCCUCGUCAUUCCCAUUGAGCUUGGGCAAAAAUCUUGAUGCUGAGAGAACACCUCCCUCCACUUCCAUCAUGGCUGCCUGCAAGAGGAAGUCUGGACUGAACUCGGUUUAUCGUAACAAAAAGAUGCGUAAGAUGUUCAUGGGUAAUAUGUAGCUGCCACACGCCACAGAAACAAUGCUCGGGCUAAAAAUAGUCCCUACUUUCUGUGCCACAAACUCCGUCUGGAGAUGAUUCUCUUUCCCGCCUCAGCCGGAACUGCGUCCUCCCUUUGUGUGUGUGCGCCAUUGUUUUUGUGGCAGGAGCUCAGCUCUUUUGCCAGUCACUCAGCAAGCAGAUGAGAAUCAAAGCGGCUGUGUGUGUGUGUGUGUGUGUGUGUGUGUGUGCGCGUGCAUGCGCGUGCGCGACGCUAAUUUGCCAUUCUGGUGUGGCGCGGAGCAUAGCGGGGCCUUUGUAGAGCCUCCGUCUCGCCUCAGCGGUUAAUUACCGCGGAAAUAAAAACCAAAGGAGAGGGAGCAGCCGGGCGUGAGAUCGAUCACGUAACGAGGAAGACGCAAAUUAAUGGUGGAGUGCAGAUGGUACAAUCGACUCUCAAAAAAAAAAAAAAAAAAAAAAAAA